UCUCCGUUGGUGAACCAGCGGAGGGAUCAUUACAGAGUUCUAGAACUCACGGGUAUAUCUGAAACCUACUGUCAGUGUCACUGUCGUUUCGUUUCCGGGCCGGCGGGUCCCCGCCCGCCGGGGACCAAUAGUCGGCGCGGGCGCGCCAGCGGCCUUCGCACCCCGAACGGUAGAAACGUCCAAGUACUGUUCAAUAGUUAAAACUUUCAACAACGGAUCCAUUGGUUCUGGCAUCGAUGCAGAAGGCAUCCGAUCGGGAGACCACACGUCUGAACCCCA
rnacentral:misc_RNA from 1 species